GAUGAACGCUGGCGGCGUGCCUAAUACAUGCAAGUCGAGCGAACAGACGAGGAGCUUGCUCCUCUGACGUUAGCGGCGGACGGGUGAGUAACACGUGGAUAACCUACCUAUAAGACUGGGAUAACUUCGGGAAACCGGAGCUAAUACCGGAUAACAUGUUGAACCGCAUGGUUCAAUAGUGAAAGACGGUCUUGCUGUCACUUAUAGAUGGAUCCGCGCCGCAUUAGCUAGUUGGUAAGGUAACGGCUUACCAAGGCGACGAUGCGUAGCCGACCUGAGAGGGUGAUCGGCCACACUGGAACUGAGACACGGUCCAGACUCCUACGGGAGGCAGCAGUAGGGAAUCUUCCGCAAUGGGCGAAAGCCUGACGGAGCAACGCCGCGUGAGUGAAGAAGGUCUUCGGAUCGUAAAACUCUGUUAUUAGGGAAGAACAAAUGUGUAAGUAACUAUGCACGUCUUGACGGUACCUAAUCAGAAAGCCACGGCUAACUACGUG
rnacentral:rRNA from 1 species